UUGGUGAAGCCCUGCCCUGAGUGCUCCCCAGUGCUCCCUGGCAGAAUGGAAGAAAUCUUCCCCUCUGACCAGAGGACCUGUCCCGUCUUAGCCUGCCACGUGUCAAUGAGGACACGGCUUCAGCAGGAUAGAAGGCCGGCCUACCAGAAUUAUCUGGCUCAGGGAAGAGGGUGGAGAAGGAAGGGGCGGUCCUGACUCAGUUGCAUAGGUGUGGUCACAGAUUUCCAGGAUUCCAGAUUCUUACCCCACCGAUCGCAGCCAGGCCACUUUCAAUCAUGUGCUCACCCCAGCGAUAAUGCUGUUACUUACCCCCACCAGUCCCCGGUUCCCCACGAGAUAAAGUCCAAACUCCUCAGCCUGUUCUGUAAGGCCCUGAGGAAUUUAUUUUUUAAUGGGGCCAAGAGGAAUUUGAUCCUUGCUCACCUAGGUUCCAGAGAAACUAGACUUUUCACCUUCUGGAAUAUAAUGUGCUUUUUUAUACCCGUGGGCAGUUCCCUCGACCAGGAACACCUUCUCCCUUCUUGACCUGGGAAAAGCCUCCCCCUGCUUCCUGACCCAGAUGGAACACUACCGUUUCUGGGAAGCCCAGCACCCCAGCCCUGGCCAGACUCUGUUGCUCUCUCUUUCCUGCUCCCAGCCUGGGGCGCACAUCUGGUUUCUAAUGCUCUCCGCGUGGCCCUGUCACGAAGAACGCAAGAUAUGUGUCCCCUCUGCUCCGUGGCUGGGUCACGUCUCACCCACCGUUUUCUCCCAGCCCAGGUGCGUGCUUGAGUCUCAGUAAAGGUUCGCUGAUACGUGAAAAGGCUGCCACAGAAUCUGGGCACUUCGGUGUCAGUCCAUAAUCGACAGCCCGGGCGCCCACAUUUCAGGAAGUUUCUUCAGACAUUCGAGCUUCUAUGGCUCGCCUAUGACGUGCCAGGAGCUCGCUCGGCUUGGGGACUGGAGGCACGGCUCUGGAUGGGACGGCGCCCCCUCCCUGCUGCCCAAGUGAAAUAUAAUACCCAUUCAGACAACUGCACGCGAAGAUACACGGCUCAGAAAUGACCGUCUCACCCAGGUCACGAAAGGGAUGGCCAGUGCCCCAGCGGUCCCUUCACCGACCCUGCGCGUCGCACCCGCGCCCUCCCUGCAGAAGUGACCCCGUGCUGACACCGUCUUGCUUUCCUGUAUGGUUUUACGCCCCGGGCGUGAAUCCGACUCCAGUUCUGUUUUGUCUGGGUUUAAACUUUGUAUCAGGAAAAAAAUAUAAUGGCUAUUCUUCGGUGUUUGA